rnacentral:rRNA from 1 species
UACAGAGGGGGGCAAGCGUUUGUUCGGAAUUACUGGGCGUAAAGGGCGCGUAGGCGGCCUGUUAAGUCGAACGUGAAAUCCCUGGGCUCAACCCAGGAACUGCGUCCGAUACUGGCGGGCUUGAAUCCGGGAGAGGGAUGUGGAAUUCCAGGUGUAGCGGUGAAAUGCGUAGAUAUCUGGAGGAACACCGGUGGCGAAGGCGGCAUCCUGGACCGGUAUUGACGCUGAUGCGCGAAAGCCAGGGGAGCAAACGGG